UCUCUUCCCCCUUCCUUCCCUACCUCCCCACCUGAAUGUAACUAUACUUUGCACAGUCCUCCUAUCCUUAUUCUUUCCCACCUCAGUAUACCUCUACCUCAAAAUCCCAGCCUUCUUCUGUCACUCCCCAGACCCUUAAAUCACCUCCUGACAUUUCUACCUUCCCACACUCUGCCUAAAAUCUCUAGCCCACCACCCCCCAGACACAACUUUUCCCCUGCCCUGCCUCUCUACCUCAUACCUACAUCCACAUCUUUCCCCAUCCCCUGACCUAUAUAUCAUGUCCACUCCCACCCCUGCCUUCUGUCAGGUCCCAGCAGCCUGACCUGCUCCUUAAGAGAGAAAGAAGUUAACUAGAUGGCAGUCGGGGGAAGUGGAAAGAUGGUUCAGGAGAUCACAGUCCAUCAUUGAGGGAAGUCAAGUCAAGAACCUUAAGUUCCAUACAGCAUGAUCUGGCAUGAGUUUUGGAGCAUGGCCCUGGAUCUCCAAGAGAAUGUAUUGAAUGUAACAGAUUUGUUAAGAACCAUUGUUUCCAGGCCUCUAUCAUUGAAGGAGGAGAAGCAGCAAUCCAGGAGCAUUCCAAGUUUUAUGCACUGGAUAGCAAUUGCUGAGGUACCCACACAACAUAAUAGGUUGAGCAACUGCGUAGUUAGCCUCUCAGAGAUCCCUGACCAAUCCAGCACCUGAGAAAUAACAAUUGAGAAGUAACAGGAUGCUGCUGCCUGCUGAGACACCUUUGAGACAAUCCACAUUGAGUGGCAACUUCGGACUGGAUCCAGGCACCUGGAUGGACUGGCCGGGGAGGG
rnacentral:lncRNA from 1 species